rnacentral:rRNA from 1 species
UCACCUCUUUUAUCAAAAACAUCCCUUAUUGAUAAUAAUUUUAAGUCGAUCUGCCCAACGAUUUUAAAUUUAAUGGCUGCAGUAUAAUUGACUGUACAAAGGUAGCAUAAUCAAUUGUUUUUUAAUUGAAAACUGGAAUGAAAGAAUUAAUGAGAUAUAUUCUGUCUCAUAUAUAUUUAAUGAAUUUAAAUAUUUAGUAAAAAUGCUUAAAUAAAUUUAUGGGACGAUAAGACCCUAUAGAAUUUUAUAUUAAUAUUUAAUUAAUUAUUUAAUUUAAAUAUUAAUAUUUGAUUGGGAGGAUUAGUAAAUUUGAAGAACUUUAUUUUAAAAUUAAACUUUGAUUUAAGGAUGAUAUUGAUCUUGUAUUAUGAAUUAAAAGAAUAAAUUACCUUAGGGAUAACAGCGUAAUAUCUUUUAAAAGGUCAUAUUAAUAAAGAUGAUUACGACCUCGAUGUUGAAUUAAGAUAAAUUGUAAACGGAGAAGUUUAAAAAUUAAGUCUGUUCGACUUUUAAAAUCUUACAUGAUUUGAGUUCAAAUCGACGUGAGUCAGAUUGGUUUCUAUCUAUAA